CAGUCGCCGCGGGAAUACGAAGGGUGCAAGCGUUACUCGGAAUUACUGGGCGUAAAGCGUGCGCAGGCGGUUCGUUAAGACAGAUGUGAAAUCCCCGGGCUUAACCUGGGAACUGCAUUUGAAACUGGCAGGCUAGAGUCUUGUAGAGGGGGGUAGAAUUCCAGGUGUAGCGGUGAAAUGCGUAGAGAUCUGGAGGAAUACCGGUGGCGAAGGCGGCCCCCUGGACAAAGACUGACGCUCAGGUGCGAAAGCGUGGGGAGCAAACAGGAUUAGAUACCCCAGUAGUCCCUGUCUCUUAUAC
rnacentral:rRNA from 1 species